CAGCAGCCGCGGGAAUACGAAGGGUGCAAGCGUUAAUUGGAAUUACUGGGCGUAAAGCGUGCGUAGGCGGUUUGUUAAGUCUGUUGUGAAAUCCCCGGGCUCAACCUGGGAAUGGCAAUGGAUACUGGCAAGCUAGAGUGUGUCAGAGGAUGGUGGAAUUCCCGGUGUAGCGGUGAAAUGCGUAGAGAUCGGGAGGAACAUCAGUGGCGAAGGCGGCCAUCUGGGACAACACUGACGCUGAGGCACGAAAGCGUGGGGAGCAAACAGGAUUAGAUACCCCUGUAGUCCCUGUCUCUUAUAC
rnacentral:rRNA from 1 species